UUGGAUUGGUGGGGCCCGUGAGUUGCCUGUUACUUGUAUAGUUGAUAUGAUUAGGGUUCAAAUCAUGACUCAAUUGUCGGAUAGAAGAGCUGAAUCUAGAAGAUGGACUACGAAAUUGUGUCCAGUUAUGGAAAAGAAGUUGGUGGACUCUUUGGAGCUAGCUAAGUCUUGGGAUGUGAUUGUUGCUAGUGAUACUGUGCUUGAGAUUGUUUUAGAGAGUCAUACAAGGAAUCUGUUUAUCCAGUGCCUUCAAGUGAGAGAUUUGACUUUGAUGGUGCCAGUAGUUCGGUUAUCAAACCUCCUAUAAUGAAGAAGCAGCCCGAGCGGAACAAGAAGAAGAGGAUACCUUCUAGGGGUGAGAAUGUGAAGCAAAUCAAGUGUGGGAGGUGCUUGAAAUAUGGGAAUCGCAAUAAGAAGACGUGCAAGGCUGCUAUUUGAGGCCACAAUCUAUUCUUUUGGAUUUGUAUUUGAAUUUGAGGAAUUAUGAUAAUAAAAAAUGUGAUACUUGGUAUUAUGGAAGUAAUGAAUAAAGUUGGUUGAAUUGUUUUUUGUU